rnacentral:rRNA from 1 species
AAAUUGAAGAGUUUGAUCAUGGCUCAGAUUGAACGCUGGCGGCAGGCCUAACACAUGCAAGUCGAACGGUAGCACAGAGAGCUUGCUCUCGGGUGACGAGUGGCGGACGGGUGAGUAAUGUCUGGGAAACUGCCUGGUGGAGGGGGAUAACUACUGGAAACGGUGGCUAAUACCGCAUAAUGUCGCAAGACCAAAGAGGGGGACCUUCGGGCCUCUUGCCAUCAGAUGUGCCCAGAUGGGAUUAGCUUGUUGGUGAGGUAACGGCUCACCAAGGCGACGAUCCCUAGCUGGUCUGAGAGGAUGACCAGCCACACUGGAACUGAGACACGGUCCAGACUCCUACGGGAGGCAGCAGUGGGGAAUAUUGCACAAUGGGCGCAAGCCUGAUGCAGCCAUGCCGCGUGUAUGAAGAAGGCCUUCGGGUUGUAAAGUACUUUCAGCGGGGAGGAAGGUGUUGUGGUUAAUAACCGCAGCAAUUGACGUUACCCGCAGAAGAAGCACCGGCUAACUCCGUGCCAGCAGCCGCGGUAAUACGGAGGGUGCAAGCGUUAAUCGGAAUUACUGGGCGUAAAGCGCACGCAGGCGGUCUGUCAAGUCGGAUGUGAAAUCCCCGGGCUCAACCUGGGAACUGCAUUCGAAACUGGCAGGCUUGAGUCUUGUAGAGGGGGGUAGAAUUC